rnacentral:tRNA from 1 species
AAGAAUAUAGCUCAAGUGGUAGAGCGGUAGACUUUUAAUCUAUUGGUUGCAGGUUCGAGUCCUGCUAUUCUCA